AACGAACGCUGGCGGCAGGCCUAACACAUGCAAGUCGAACGCCCUGGCAACAGGGAGUGGCAGACGGGUGAGUAACACGUGGGAACGUACCCUUUGGUUCGGAAUAACUUGGGGAAACUCAAGCUAAUACCGGAUAAGCCCUUAUGGGGAAAGGUUUACUGCCGAAGGAUCGGCCCGCGUCUGAUUAGCUAGUUGGUGAGGUAAUGGCUCACCAAGGCGACGAUCAGUAGCUGGUCUGAGAGGAUGAUCAGCCACACUGGGACUGAGACACGGCCCAGACUCCUACGGGAGGCAGCAGUGGGGAAUAUUGGACAAUGGGGGCAACCCUGAUCCAGCCAUGCCGCGUGAGUGAUGAAGGCCUUAGGGUUGUAAAGCUCUUUUACCCGGGACGAUAAUGACUGUACCGGGAGAAUAAGCCCCGGCUAACUUCGUGCCAGCCGCCGCCGUAA
rnacentral:rRNA from 1 species